rnacentral:rRNA from 1 species
GAUGAACGCUAGCGGCGUGCCUAAUACAUGCAAGUCGAACGGACAGACGGGGAGCUUGCUCCUAUGACGUUAGCGGCGGACGGGUGUGUAACACGUGGAUAACCUCCCUAUAAGACUGGGAUAACUUCGGGAGACGGGUGAUCAUACCAGAAAAUAUAUUGAAGGGCAUGGAUCAAGAGUAAAAGGCGGGGUUGCGGGCACGUAUAGACGGAUCCGGGCCUCAUUAGCGAGUUGGUAUGGGACCGGGUUAGCAAGCCAACGAUGCGGAGCCGAGGUGAGAGGGUGAUCAGCCACACCGGAACUGGGACACGGUCCAGACUCCUACGGGAGGCAGCAGCAGGGAAUCUUCCGCAAUGGGCGAAGGUCUGACGCAGCAACGGCGCUUGAGCGAGGAAGGUCUUCGGAUCGUAAAACGCUGUUUGCUUUGAAGAACAAAUGUGAUAGCAACGCUGCACGUCUUGACGGUACCUGAUCAGAAAGCCACGGCUAACUACGUG